AAUCCACAACACAGAGAACGGAAGAAAUGGAGGAAGAACUACCAGCGAUUACAUUUUAUCGUCUCUGCCAGAGGAUCUGCAGCAUCAAGGAGCAGAGCUAGAGAAUUUGCUAAAACUCAAAAACAGUGUCAUCCCAAGUCUCAUAUAACACAGCGUCUCAAUGUCUCAAUGUCUCAAUGUCCUGAAAAAGAAGGGUUCUUUUGAACUCCCAACUAGGCGGGUAGACACAAACAAGAAAACCGAGAAUUAAUAGAUACAAAAUUGAAAGCAAAGGAUUGGGGAUUCAGUGGUGUAAUGUUAAGAGGUCGUGCGACAUGAAGACAUUGAUAGCAAUAUGGGGGAAGUUCCCAUCAGGCAACAACGGUUACGCCUGACCCUACUUAAGCAUUGUGAAAAGUCCGCCUGGCUAGGACUAGAUCUUGGUACCAGUCCAUAAGGAUCAAAGUCGUUUUAAAGACUUAUUGAGCACAAUAUUAAAAUUUUAAGAAUCUAUUAAAUACUUUUUAAAGUUUAGAACGUAGACCAAACUUAUAAUUUAACAUUCAUGUAAAGAAAGUGUAGGAUUGAAUUGAAAUUCAUUUAUGGAGAACGAUAGAAUGUUUAGGGAGCAAUGACUUCCAUUUA